GAUGAACGCUGGCGGCGUGCCUAAUACAUGCAAGUCGAGCGAACAGAUAAGGAGCUCGCUCCUUUGACGUUAGCGGCGGACGGGUGAGUAACACGUGGAUAACCUACCUAUAAGACUGGGAUAACUUCGGGAAACCGGAGCUAAUACCGGAUAACAUAUUGAACCGCAUGGUUCAAUAGUGAAAGGCGGCUUUGCUGUCACUUAUAGAUGGAUCCGCGCCGUAUUAGCUAGUUGGUAAGGUAACGGCUUACCAAGGCAACGAUACGUAGCCGACCUGAGAGGGUGAUCGGCCACACUGGAACUGAGACACGGUCCAGACUCCUACGGGAGGCAGCAGUAGGGAAUCUUCCGCAAUGGGCGAAAGCCUGACGGAGCAACGCCGCGUGAGUGAUGAAGGUCUUCGGAUCGUAAAACUCUGUUAUCAGGGAAGAACAAAUGUGUAAGUAACUGUGCACAUCUUGACGGUACCUGAUCAGAAAGCCACGGCUAACUACGUG
rnacentral:rRNA from 1 species